rnacentral:rRNA from 1 species
AGAGUUUGAUCCUGGCUCAGAAUCAACGCUGGCGGCGUGCCUAACACAUGCAAGUCGAGCGGGAAAGGGGGCUUCGGCCCCUGAGUAUAGCGGCGGACGGGUGAGUAACACGUGGGUAAUUUGCCCUUGGGUGUGGAAUAACUCAGGGAAACUUGAGCUAAUACCGCAUGACAUCCCCUUCACACACGAGUCGGGGAUCAAAGCCGGGGACCCUUCGGGGCCUGGCGCCUGAGGAAAAGCCCGCGCCCGAUUAGCUAGUUGGUGAGGUAAUGGCUCACCAAGGCUUCGAUCGGUAGCCGGCCUGAGAGGGCGGACGGCCACACUGGGACUGAGACACGGCCCAGACUCCUACGGGAGGCAGCAGUGGGGAAUUUUUGUCAAUGGGGGAAACCCUGAACAAGCAACGCCGCGUGAAGGACGAAGACCUUCGGGUUGUAAACUUCUGUCGGAGGGGACGAAAGCGAUCGAGGCUAAUAUCCUCGGCCGUGACGGUACCCUACGAGAGCC